GCCAGUUCAGCCCAGACCCAGAAUGUGUUUUUGACCUGGGGUUCCAGGACUGUCUCUGGAGGACAGCAAGCUUCUUGUCUCACGGAGUCGAAGAGAGACUCUCACAGACCCAAAAGAGCGAAGUGAAGUUAAAGUUUAGUAAGUGAAGUUCCAUGUCUAUACAACAACCACACUGUUGCUUAUCCUCUUCACCCUUACACAGUAAGCAUCCUGCUUCUCACACAUUCGUGUUGAGCUCAACAGAGAAGUGAAGUGAAAACGCAGUCCCCACAACUCUAUGACAAAGAACGCUGACCUUCCCAGCACCUCAGGUCAUUCCCGGUUCCAGGUCUCCAUGGCAUGGAAGGAAGUUUGGAGCUGAGAAAAAG